rnacentral:rRNA from 1 species
AUUGAACGCUGGCGGCAUGCCUUACACAUGCAAGUCGAACGGUAACGGGCCUUCUGGUGCCGCCGAGUGGCGAACGGGUGAGUAAUACAUCGGAACGUGCCCGAUCGUGGGGGAUAACGAGGCGAAAGCUUUGCUAAUACCGCAUACGAUCUACGGAUGAAAGCAGGGGACCGCAAGGCCUUGCGCGGACGGAGCGGCCGAUGGCAGAUUAGGUAGUUGGUGGGAUAAAAGCUUACCAAGCCGACGAUCUGUAGCUGGUCUGAGAGGAUGAUCAGCCACACUGGGACUGAGACACGGCCCAGACUCCUACGGGAGGCAGCAGUGGGGAAUUUUGGACAAUGGGCGCAAGCCUGAUCCAGCCAUGCCGCGUGCAGGAUGAAGGCCUUCGGGUUGUAAACUGCUUUUGUACGGAACGAAAAGCCUUCUUUUAAUACAGGAGGGUCAUGACGGUACCGUAAGAAUAAGCACCGGCUAACUACGUG